GGAUGUGAGGGCGAUCUGGCUGCGACAUCUGUCACCCCAUUGAUCGCCAGGGUUGAUUCGGCUGAUCUGGCUGGCUAGGCGGGUGUCCCCUUCCUCCCUCACCGCUCCAUGUGCAUCCCUCCCGAAGCUGUGCGCUCGGUGGAAGAGGACGACCAUCCCAGAUAGAAGGAGUGCACCAUUCUUCGGUCAAGGGUAUACGAUAGCUGCGCUCCCCUGCUAGAACCUCCAAACAAGCUCAAGGUAUUGCUAAGUUUGGAAUCCCAGCUACAUUUGAUGUUGAACUGCUAUAUUUGGCAUCGUUU